rnacentral:rRNA from 1 species
CCUUUGACGUUAGCGGCGGACGGGUGAGUAACACGUGGGUAACCUACCUAUAAGACUGGGAUAACUUCGGGAAACCGGAGCUAAUACCGGAUAAUAUUUCGAACCGCAUGGUUCGAUAGUGAAAGAUGGUUUUGCUAUCACUUAUAGAUGGACCCGCGCCGUAUUAGCUAGUUGGUAAGGUAACGGCUUACCAAGGCGACGAUACGUAGCCGACCUGAGAGGGUGAUCGGCCACACCGGAACUGAGACACGGUCCAGACUCCUACGGGAGGCAGCAGCC